AGGCCGAAAGGCGUAGUCGAUGGGAAACGGGUCAAUAUUCCCGUACCUCACUGUAUUGCGAUGGGGGGACGAAGAAGGCUAGGUGGGCCAGGCGUUGGUUGUCCUGGUGAAAGUCAGUAGGCUGGGGGAUCAGGCAAAUCCGGUUCCCCAAGGCCGAGAGACGAGACGAACAGACCACGGUCUGGAAGUCAUCGAUGCCACGCUUCCAGGAAAAGCCUCUAAGCUUCAGAUACAGUGGGACCGUACCCCAAACCGACACAGGUGGUCAGGUAGAGAAUACCCAGGCGCUUGAGAGAACUCGGGUGAAGGAACUAGGCAAAAUGGUGCCGUAACUUCGGGAGAAGGCACGCCGCGCUAGUGUGAAGGCCCUGCGGCCGGAGCACGAGGCGGUCGAAGAUACCAGGUGGCUGCAACUGUUUAUUAAAAACACAGCACUCUGCAAACGCGCAAGCGGACGUAUAGGGUGUGACGCCUGCCCGGUGCCGGAAGGUUAAGUGAUGGUGUUAGCGCAAGCGAAGCUCCUGAUCGAAGCCCCGGUAAACGGCGGCCGUAACUAUAACGGUCCUAAGGUAGCGAAAUUCCUUGUCGGGUAAGUUCCGACCUGCACGAAUGGCGUAAUGAUGGCCACGCUGUCUCCACCCGAGACUCAGUGAAAUUGAAAUCGCAGUGAAGAUGCUGUGUACCCGCGGCUAGACGGAAAGACCCCGUGAACCUUUACUAUAGCUUCACACUGGACGCUGAUGUUGCUUGUGUAGGAUAGCUGGGAGGCUUGGAAACCCGGACGCCAGUUCGGGUGGAGCCAACCUUGAAAUACCAGCCUGGCAUCAUUGGCGUUCUAACUCAGGUCCGUGAUCCGGACCGAGGACCGUGUGUGGUGGGUAGUUUGACUGGGGCGGUCUCCUCCCAAAGCGUAACGGAGGAGCACGAAGGUACCCUCAGCACGGUUGGAAAUCGUGCAUUGAGUGCAAGAGCAUAAGGGUGCUUAACUGCGAGACAGACACGUCGAGCAGGUACGAAAGUAGGUUCUAGUGAUCCGGUGGUUCUGUAUGGAAGGGCCAUCGCUCAACGGAUAAAAGGUACUCCGGGGAUAACAGGCUGAUACCGCCCAAGAGUUCACAUCGACGGCGGUGUUUGGCACCUCGAUGUCGGCUCAUCACAUCCUGGGGCUGAAGUCGGUCCCAAGGGUAUGGCUGUUCGCCAUUUAAAGUGGUACGCGAGCUGGGUUUAGAACGUCGUGAGACAGUUCGGUCCCUAUCUGCCGUGGGCGUUGGAUGUUUGAGAAGUGCUGCUCCUAGUACGAGAGGACCGGAGUGGACGCACCUCUGGUGUUCCGGUUGUCACGCCAGUGGCAUUGCCGGGUAGCUAUGUGCGGACGGGAUAACCGCUGAAAGCAUCUAAGCGGGAAGCCCCCUUCAAGAUGAGACAUCCCCGAGGCCUCGAGCCUCCUGAAGGGCCCAGCGAGACCAGCUGGUUGAUAGGCCGGAUGUGGAAGCGCUGCAAGGCGUUGAGCUAACCGGUACUAAUGGCCCGUGAGGCUUGACCAU
rnacentral:rRNA from 1 species